UAUUAUGGAAAAUUAACUAGUCAAACUUAUAAAAGUAAAAUUUUUAACUAAAUUUUCUCCAAACUUUGUUGAAUCUAAUUAUCUAAACACCAUCGUUGGCAGCUAAUCCCCCAAAUUUUUUCUUAGCACCAAAUCUGUUGAACCAAACGAGCGUCUAUCCUUCCCAGUUUCAAAGAACAGUCAUUCCAAUCGAUUCAUUCUGUCUCUUCACAUCACUCUAAUAUUUUCCCCAAAUCAUUCCAUCGUUGAUUUUGUCUUUUUUUUUUUUGAUUUUGUUUUGAGAAGAAGGAUUACAGACAUGGCACGUCCUUAUCAAUGGUUCGGAGGAUUGUUGAUCACAAACCUAUUGAAAUGAUUACAGAAUAAUUUGCCUAUUGAUCUAUUCCAAAGUCGAUGUGUGCGAAUUGAGGAGCUUUGUCUGUCUAUCUUCAACUAAAUCUUGAACAUUACACUGGCUAUGCUGGUCCAUCUGCAAUAAGGAUAUGGGAUGUUGUCUACUGUAAGAACUGCCCCAUAUGUGAGUUGUUCAUCUUUGUUAGUCUAUGCCAAAUAAGAGUUAACAUUAAUUUUGUUGGCUGUAAUGGAGAAUUUUAUUGUCCUUUCUUCAACCUAUUACUAUUGUUGUUAAUAGUCAAUAUAUAUAUACUCGUGUGUUGGAGUACUAUAUUGGCAUCUCCCAUAGCCUUAUAAAAGUACGAUUUGGGCUCUAAUUAUUUAACUUUUCCUUUCUCAUUAUAUUGGCAUCAUCAUGAUCUAUUUUCCACAUCUAAUGAUGGUAGAUAGCAUUGUUAAAUAUUUAGGUUAACGCAUAAGUUGGUGUGUGGUUAGUAUUGUCCACAUUGAAUUUAUGAGUAGAUUCCAAAAUUCCUCGUUAUUGUUCUUUCCAACCAUUGGGUGCUCCACAAGCUUUACUAUCAGUAGAAUGAAAAGGUAAAAAAUAAUGUCAGCAUUGAUUUUCAUCAAUCAAAAAAUUGGCAACACAGUUAGACAAAUAAGUAUUUCGGCUCUGUUUCAAGUGAAUGAUUUUGAGGAGGAAGUAAUGAAAAUACCCAUGAUUUGUGUUGUCAAAAUAAACAUUGCUUAGUUAGGCUUCACUCAUGUUCUUGGCAUGCAAAUUCUAUCAGUCUAUGCAAAAUCCACAAUAGUUUUGGGAGAAAAAGUCAAGAUAGAUGAAUUGUGCAGAGGUUUUGGAGCCCCUAUGACAGGAGGCCGGCAAGCAUGUUGCUCGUCUGAUAUAAAAGAGAGUUCUUUAUGGGAGGUUGCAACUGGGAUUUGUAUAACUGAUUUCUUGAUCUGGUGGAUUGAGUCUCUUGAUUGGCUAAAGAGGGAUGGCUUUACCUUUGAGAAAUUCUUUAAAGGGUUUUCACUUCAUCCUCAAAAUCUUGUCUUCAGUUAUAUAAUGCUUAAUUUGAUUAUUUUGGUCAUUGUGUGUGAUUGCAUUAUUUUUUAUUUAGGUUUUGCUUUCGCAUAGUUGUGAUAUUACCACCUACCCCAUUCUAUGUAUUAUUUCUGAGAUGCAAUGUAGUUUUCUCAUAUCGAUUCGUACAAGUCAUCUUUUCUAAUGACAUAGAUCUUUUGUGGCCUGCUAAUCAAGUGGAUAGAUAGUUACAAAUUUUGACUUUGUUAGUGGGUGGGCGUUAAGUUUGAUAUCUAGAGUGAGAUCUUCAAGCAUUUGACACUUUUCAACUUUUACGAAUAAAUCAUAUUUUUGGAGUUUUCUCUCUGUGUUGCAUCUUUUCUCAGUCUCAAAUUUAAGUUUUUGUUGAUUAACUAGAUGCUAGAAUAAAUCUUAUUAUGCACAGCGUCAAGUUCGUAUAAUUGUUUUAUGCCUGCCAUUAAUUUCAAUUUCUAUAGGUUAAAGAAUAUGGCAUAAAAAAUCCAGGAAAACCAUGCAUGAAGGCAUUCAUCAUUUUUAAACAGAAGGAAGAGGAGGGGGAAAAAGGGAAAAGUGAAGAGCGCGCGAAAGGGGGGGGGGGGGGUGUGGUACUUGUGGGCAUUCAUGAUAGUGUGUUUAGUUUUUGAAUGUAAAGAUUGGUGACAGAUGUAAUCAAGAGAGAGGCCUACAGUUUUUUUAGGGUUUUUUGGUAAUUAUAUGUUUAGUUUUAAACAUAUAGUUAUCAAACAAUUAAAAAUUUUUAAUAGUAGAACUUAUUACUUAAGUUAUAAGCUACAAGUCCUAAAGCUAUAAGCUAUAUUUCUCAUAACAAUCUCAAACAUGUAUUCAGGAGAGAGGCUUACAGCAAGAAGUUCUAAUACCCAGAGUACUUGUUGCAUGCAGUUGAAUGGAGAUGCUCCAGUUGUUUUGUGUGGCUGUGGUGAUUAAUGAAUUACAAUUUUGUUGGCAUUGAUGCAGAGGACAUGUGAGCAGAGUAAUCAGGAGAGACGGUUCCAAGCUGUGGAGUAUAAACAGAAAACUGUUUAAAUAACAACUUAUAGUAAUACUAACGCCGACGAAAUUUCUGUAAGAGAAAAAAGAUGAGGUACUGUCAAAAUAUUUAUUUUCUCCCUAUAACUACGGACUCAUUUGAGAACUUCCAUGAAAAAUUUGUCUAUCGACUGUCAACCGACUGAUGGUUAGUACUCCGCUCACUAUGCAACUUAUUAAAAAAAAUUUAAAAAUACACAGAAAUAUAUAGUGAAUCUAGAGUUUCAAUUUUCUUUUUAUAUUAUCGAAUGGAUAUCACUGGUAGGUUGCAGCAUUUCAGAAAAAUGGAACCUCAUGAUUUACGAGUGAUGCAGGAUUUAAAUUGCUCCAUUGUACCAGUUCGUGCGAAAGUGCCGAGGAUGAUAAAGUGGAUGGUGCGAGAUGUGGGUAUGUUAAAGCUGAAUGUGAAUGGUGGGUCUUGUGGUAAUCCGGGGAUGUCGGGUGGUGGAGGUGUUAUUUAGGAUUCACAUGGAAGAGUCUUGGUCGGAUUUGCUCAUUUUUAUGGCCAAGCGACAAAUACAAUUGUGGAGUGUCAUGCUUUACUGGAUGGUUUACGACUGUCUUUCACUUGGGUUGAGGGAUUUAUUAGUGGAGUCUGAUUCUACUGUAGUGAUUGGAUGGAUGGAUGGCUUUGGGUAUUUGUAAAUAUUGUUUUUUUGGGAUUUCUGGGAGGAAGUAAAGAUGCUUAUCCGUUUGCUUAAGGUUUGGGUUCGACAUAAUUUUAGAGAAGCGAAUAUAGUUGUGGAUUUUUUAGCUAAAGAAGGGGAGGAUUGCGGAUUUUAUGGGAGAAGAUUAUGUGCAAGGAAAACUUUGAGGUUUAGUUCGCUUGGAUAAAUUGGGGAUUCCUUGUAUUCGUUAUUGAUGUAAUUUUUUUCAUGGUUGCUCCUCCACCUCAGUGAGGGUAUUUAUAAUAAGAGGCUUAAACCUCGCCUUUUUUGAAAAAAAAGAAAAAAUGGUGCCACAUCAAUGGAGCAAAAUGAUAUUACUUUGAUACUAA